AACGAACGCUGGCGGCAGGCUUAACACAUGCAAGUCGAACGGACGUAGCAAUACGUUAGUGGCAGACGGGUGAGUAACGCGUGGGAAUAUGCCCUUUAGUUCGGAAUAACUCAGGGAAACUUGAGCUAAUACCGGAUAAUCCAGAGAGGGGAAAGAUUUAUCGCUGAAGGAGUAGCCCACGUCUGAUUAGCUAGUUGGUGAGGUAAUGGCUCACCAAGGCGACGAUCAGUAGCUGGUCUGAGAGGAUGAUCAGCCACACUGGGACUGAGACACGGCCCAGACUCCUACGGGAGGCAGCAGUGGGGAAUAUUGGACAAUGGGGGCAACCCUGAUCCAGCCAUGCCGCGUGAGUGAUGAAGGCCUUAGGGUUGUAAACUUCUUUUGCCAGAGUCGACAGGCUUUGGCGAAUAAGCGCCUACAAACUACGUGCCAGCAGCCGCCGUAA
rnacentral:rRNA from 1 species